AAAUGUGGAUGUCAAAGAUGGACUUGUCAAUGGAUGCUUAGGAAACAUUGGAAACAUUGUGACCAAAACAAAAUACAGACUUGCAUUUGUGCACAUGCUUGGAAAUCAGCCGACAAUCCAAAUGCUGGCCAGAAAUACAUACGACAACAACUGCAAGGUAAAGAGGACACUUUACAUCAAAAGAUCAGAGGAAACUCUAAAGAAAGAAGCAGCCUGUCAACAAUUUCCAAUCAAGAUGGCUUACGCAUGCACCACUCUCAAAGUUCAAGGCAUGACCAUGCAAUCGGCUGUCAAAAAUCACAACCUCGUUGGAGAGGACAAAAAAUGGCAACGCUGGAAGGCAUCAUGCUACUUUUUGACUGGAAAAAAAACCAACAACAGUCUGAAAGAAAAGCUUAUCGUUGUGCAUCAUAAAGCAGAGGGACUCCCAUCACAUAUAGAGGACAUAAAACACCAUCACCAAACAUCAGGGGCCUACUUAAUUAUUUGGAAAUGAUGGAGAAUCCCAUAUUUGUCUGUGGAGACUUCACCAAAGACCACCUCUUGUCUGGAAGAAAGCCCAUUCUGGAGUUGUUCCAAUCCCCACUAUACAAACAGCUCAUCUCCAUGGCCACCACAAAGAAACGAACACUGGCCUACGUCUUUGACAUGAAGUCAGUGUGCCACACAGAACCGGGAGACAAAAGACCUGGAUAGAGCCUGAUUAUCAGCCACUCGUCUUUUACUUGGUGGUGUGUGCACAGUUGCGUGAAGGCGGUGUGUCGUACCUGAGGUGGAUGCUGUGUGAUGAGAGUAGAGUAGGGUCAGCAGCAAGGGACAUCAGGAGGAUAUUGUGGCAUCUUCAAAGUUUACAAAGGGCAGUGACAGCAGCAACAGUUGUGGCGAUGCUGGUUCGAGCCUCAGCUGGGUCAGUUGGUGUUUCUGUGUGCAAGAUGCAAGAACAGGAUGGAUGAAAAAGCAAACUAACCCUGUCAUGGGUAAAAAAAGACAACCUGCUAGGCACCAUACAAGUUGCAUUGAUUGGGAGUCUGCAUAAUGUUGAUCAAAAAUGUGGAUGUCAAAGAUGGACUUGUCAAUGGAUGCUUUGGAAACAUUGUGACCAAAACAAAAUACAGACUUGCAUUUGUGCACAUGCUUGGAAAUCAGUCGACAAUCCAAAUGCUGGCCAGAAAUACAUACGACAACAACUGCAAGGUGAAGAGGACACUUUACAUCAAAAGAUCAGAGGAAACUCUUAAGAAAGAAGCAGUCUGUCAACUAUUUCCAAUCAAGAUGGCUUACGCAUGCACCACUCACAAAGUUCAAGGCAUGACCAUGCAAUCGGCUGUCAAAAAUCACAACCACGUUGGAGAGGACAAAAAAUGGCAACGCUGGAAGGCAUCAUGCUACUUUUUGACUGGAAAAAAACCAACAACAGUCUGAAAGAAAAGCUUAUCGUUGUGCAUCAUAAAGCAGAGGGACUCCCAUCACAUAUAGAGGACAUAAAACACCAUCACCAAACAUCAUGGGCCUACUUAAUUAUUUGGAAAUGAUGGAGAAUCCCAUAAUUGUCUGUGGAGACUUCACCAAAGACCACCUCUUGUCUGGAAGAAAGCCCAUUCUGGAGUUGUUCCAAUCCCUACUAUACAAACAGCUCAUCUCCAUGGCCACCACAAAGAAACGAACAUUGGCCUACGUCUUUGACAUGAAGUCAGUGUGCCACACAGAACCGGGAGACAAAAGACCUGGAUAGAGCCUGAUUAUCAGCCACUCGUCUUUUACUUGGUGGUGUGUGCACAGUUGCGUGAAGGCGGUGUGUCGUACCUGAGGUGGAUGCUGUGUGAUGAGAGUAGAGUAGGGUCAGCAGCAAGGGACAUCAGGAGGAUAUUGUGGCAUCUUCAAAGUUUACAAAGGGCAGUGACAGCAGCAACAGUUGUGGCAACGCUGGUUCGAGCCUCGGCUGGGUCAGUUGGUGUUUCUAUGUGGAGUUUGCAUGUUCUCCCUGCGUUCGAGUGGGUUUCCUCCGGUUGCUUCGACUUCUUCAACAGUCUAAAGACACGCGGAACAGGCACAGCUUUAACACAACAGCAGCCUUUUCAAAGUGGACAGAAUUCUUUGACAUUCAAUCUAAAGCUAAGUAUUUUGUUUCAGUUGUUUGUACUGCCUUGUAAUACAGUCACAUUUUCAGCAUAAUGUUAAAUCUUAGUCUCAUUCAAGUGUUGUGUUUUUUUAUGUUUUUACUACCAGAAGACCCAAGAAGAUGUGUUGACUGAGAAAACAAAUGUCCUGCAGUAUUGUUGAGGAAGACAUCUGCCUAACUAUAUAUUGGAGAAGACCAGGUGUAUGCGCACUACGGCAUUGCAGAAUGAUGGACCAGAGGAAGAACAUCUCUAAUACAGAGGUAUUCUGAAACAAGAGAAGACCAGGUGUUUGGCAUUGCACACCACAGCAUUGCAGGAUGACGGACCAGAGGAUAUACAGUCUGUGCAUGCCAGAUCCAGAGGCCAGAUGGUGGAAGACGGUGUCCUGCAACAUUUAGAUAAUUUUAACGUUGUUUAAAAAUGUUAUUAGCUUAUACAUCUAAAAAAUGUUGCUAUGUUACGUGCCACGCCCAAGAAAGAUGGGUACUCCCUUGCUGAGUCUGGUCUUUCCAAGGUUUCUCUCCAAACUUUUUGGAGUUUUUUUCCUUGCCACAGUCGCCAAUGGCUUGCUCACAGGGGGUGUUGUGCCAAGUCCUGUCUUCCCCUCGUGUCCUUUAUCUUUAAACUUAGAUUCCAUAGUAAUUUAGCCAUACAAAUGUUAAUAAAAAGGAGCUUAAAAUUAAUUUAAAACAAGUAAAAAUAGGCUUAAGAGUACAAAUAAAGCUUAGUCAAUCAUAUCAUCACAAUUUAGGAUAUUUAUAUGCAGCUUAGGUUUGAAUAUAUUUGCCAUUUAAUAAAUACUAAUGAGUAAAAUGUUUGCACCAUAAACUAUUAAUUGUUAUAAAUCAAUUAACUUUUUUUUUCUCAGAUUAGAGCCGCAAAUUAUUUGCAGAAAGGGACAGUAGGUCCGGUAAAAAUUGAUUAUCAUCACAUAUGGCCAAAGUACAUUUUUACUUUAAACAACGUAAAAAAAGAAUAAAACACAUUAGCAUUUAGAUCAGUUUCUUAGGGCACUUUAAUAUUAAUUAAUUAAUAAUAAUAAUAAUAACAAAACUUUUGUGUUUAUAGCUGGCAUGGUCUUUAUUAAAUAAACAUUCCCAGCACCAAUUUAUAGCAAAUAAUCAUGUCAUUUUAUUAUUUUUAAUUAAACUAUGUUUAGCAGGGUGGUUGAACUGCAGAUUUAUUUAUAAAUUUAACUCUGCCACUGUACACAGUAUGUGAUAGUGCACUGAAUGAGGUUUUAAAUUAAAAUCAACCAUUUUAAAUGCACAUAUAUAUAAUAUUAUAUAAUUUAUUAUAAUAUAUAAUUAAUAUAAUAUAUUAUAGUAUAAAAAUUAUAGUAAUUUACAAUGAUGUGUUUAAGAAAAACAUCCAUAUUGGAAUUAAACAGUCAUUAGGUAAACUUUAUUAUUGCUCUAUAGCUUAAUUCAUUAUUCUAACAUUUUAGUAGGUGUGACUGGGAUCAGACUGGUGGACAGGAUUUGGCACAACAGGCUUUUUUUUAAUCAAUUUAAUAAACAAUUUGGUUUAAUUGGCACA